rnacentral:rRNA from 1 species
GGGAUGUCGGUCGGCGUAAGCCGGCAAGUCGUCGAGUCCAUGCCUCCGAGAAAAGCCUCUAGGGAGUGGGAACGCACCCGUACCAAAACCGACACAGGUGGGCAGGUAGAGCAUACCGAGGUGAUCGAGAGAACCCUCGUUAAGGAACUCGGCAAAAUUGUCCCGUAACUUCGGGAGAAGGGACGCCCCGGUAGAGUGACGGACCUCGCGUCUCGAGCUCGAGGGGGCCGCAGAGAAUUGGCCCAACCGACUGUUUACCAAAAACACAGGUCUCUGCGAAGUCGUAAGACGACGUAUAGGGGCUGACGCCUGCCCGGUGCCGGAAGGUCAAGUGGAGAGGUUAGCCCUCGUGGCGAAGCUUUGAAAUCAAGCCCCGGUAAACGGCGGCCGUAACAAUAACGGUCCUAAGGUAGCGAAAUUCCUUGUCGGGUAAGUUCCGACCUGCACGAAUGGCGUAACGAGUUGGGCGCUGUCUCAACGAGGGACUCGGUGAAAUUGUAGUAUCGGUGAAGAUGCCGAUUACCCGCCGCAAGACGGAAAGACCCCGUGAACCUUUACUGCAGCUUGAUAUUGGUGUCUGGGACAUCCUGUCCAGGAUAGGUGGGAGGCUGUGAGACCGUGGCGUCAGUCGCGGAGGAGCCACCCUUGGGAUACCACCCUGGAUGUUCUGGGCUUCUAACGGAAGACCGUGAUCCGGCUUUCGGACAGUGUCAGGUGGGCAGUUUGACUGGGGCGGUCGCCUCCCAAAUUGUAACGGAGGCGCGCAAAGGUUCCCUCAGCACGGUUGGAAAUCGUGCGUAGAGUGUAAAGGCAUAAGGGAGCUUGACUGCGAGACUGACAGGUCGAGCAGGUACGAAAGUAGGCCUUAGUGAUCCGGCGGUAGAGAGUGGAAUUGCCGUCGCUCAACGGAUAAAAGGUACUCCGGGGAUAACAGGCUUAUCCUCCCCAAGAGUCCACAUCGACGGGAGGGUUUGGCACCUCGAUGUCGGCUCGUCGCAUCCUGGGGCUGGAGUAGGUCCCAAGGGUUGGGCUGUUCGCCCAUUAAAGCGGUACGCGAGCUGGGUUCAGAACGUCGUGAGACAGUUCGGUCCCUAUCUGCGGUGGGCGUUGGAGAUUUGCGAGGAGUCGUCCCCAGUACGAGAGGACCGGGAUGAACAGACCUCUGGUGUAUCAGUUGUCGUGCCAACGGCACUGCUGACUAGCUACGUCUGGAUGGGAUAACCGCUGAAAGCAUCUAAGCGGGAAGCCCACCUCAAGAUGAGAUCUCCCACCCCUUCAAGGGGGUAAGGCUCCAG